ensembl:lncRNA
CUGAUAUACAAGCAGCUGCUUUAGAGGAGGAGAUCAAAGGAUUGGAGCUAGAUGACCUACAACAGGAAAUAGAAGAGGAAAGGAACGCUGACUUAGAAGCGGCAGCAUUGGGUGCACAAGCCAGAGAAGGACAGCGGCUGCAAGAGGAAGCACAUCUGGCUAAAGAGAGAAUAGCUAGAGAGAUGGGAAGACGCAGGCGCUUAAAGAAACAUGAGAAGGAGAUGCACAUUGCCAGUCUUGUAAAGACCUACCUGACAGGGACGAAUGAUGAUUCCUUGUCUACGUCGUCAGCUCCUGCUACGUUCUCCAAGCUACCUCUGCCAUCACAAUUGGUUCAACAGCCACCUCAGGUGCAAUUAAUCCCCAAGCAGCAUCCACCUGUGCAACAGCCAAAUCCAGAGCCAGUUCCGAUAACACCUCUCUCCACUGUUCCUACUCCGAUAUUAGCACCACCUGCUAAUCCCGUCACGAGUGCCCAGAUCAGUUUUCCUGUCAGCGCAGCAUCGAUUGCAGUACCAGUCUCUGGACUUCCCUCUGUACCUGUCUCAUUCGUUCCCGUCCUACCCACGGUACAGGCAGGUGGAGCGUCACCGAUGGCAAGGUCUUCUGUCACAACUAAUCUACCAUCUCAGUACAUAGGGGCUCCAGCUACCAGUACAAGCUUCACAAUGCCACCACGAGCAGUUAAAGUGGCACCGCCACCUCUUGCAGUGCAGUAUACUCACCGCAGUAUACCAACUGCAACACCAGUUCAGGCAGCAUUACCCUUGACCUACCCAGGUAUGGAAACCCUGAUUGCUACAUCUUAUGGCAUUCCCAAACCAACACUUCCCUUCUUCGAGAGUGGCAAAGAAAGUGAUUUCGCACUUUUGAAGAUGGCGCUCGACAACUUGAUGAAUAGUCACCCUCAUCUCAGCGAGCACUAUAAAUAUCAAGUUCUUCUGAGUCAGCUCAAGCUUCAGAGUGCUCUGCAGUUGGCUAAAUCAUACAUGUAUGACCCCGCACCGUAUACAGCUGCAAUGGGAGCUCUGCAAGACAAAUAUGGCCAGCCAAGACAACUGGUUCAAAGUGAACUAGCGGCAAUACUCAACUCCCCAGCCAUUAAGUCAGGAGACACAGAGGCAUUUGACUCCUUCGCUCUCUCAGUCCAGUUGCUGGUCGGUAUGCUGCACACUUUAGAGGGACCAGUUGGAUACGAGCUCAGGUGUGGUUCUCAUGUUGACUGUCUUUUAAGCAAAAUGUCUCCUUCCCACAGAGAUGGAUUUGUGGAAUAUUGUCUCAUUCACGGCAUCCUGCAGCCAGGUUCAGAGCUCACCUACUCUCUGCCCGACCUUGCUGCAUGGCUGCAGAUGAAGGCUCAAGCCAAGCGUCUUGCCAGUCGAGCUACUCUUCUCUACAAUUCUACAGGGCCUACCCUUCCAAAGAGAGAUCAACGUAGUUCAAAGCCCAAAGAUAAAAUAGCGUCAGUCUUCCUCUGCUCUGGUGAGACAGCUAACAAGGAGACCUUUCAUGUGAAGUCCCAAGCUUUCAAACUCAGUCCUUAUUGUCCAUUCUGCAACAAUAAGGAGCACUACCUUAACUCAUGCCCCGACUUUAAGAAAAUGUCUACUGCUGAGAUUAAGAAGUGGAUCCAGGAAGGUGACAGAUGUUGGAAAUGCGGCCGCGGCCACAAAGCUACAGCCUGCACGCUUAAACGCCCCUGUAAGAUUUGCAAAGAGAAACACCUUACAGUCCUCCAUGACACCAUUCAAGAGUCAUCCCAGAAAGUGCUGAUGGUCAGUAAUCCGAAACCCAUUGUCUACAUUGAGCAGCCCCGAAGCCCUCAGAGAGUGUUACUGAAGGUUGUCAAAGUGCUCCUGCAUCAUGGAGAUCGCACUCUUGAGACAUUUGCAGUGCUCGAUGAUGAUUCGGAGAGAACGAUUAUCCUCC